rnacentral:miRNA from 1 species
GAAAAUGAUGAGUAGUGACUGAUG